ensembl:ncRNA B0034.14 ncRNA
AUUUCAUAGAAUUUUUGGGUUCUUUCCAAGAAUGUCUUGCUAAAAAAAACCAAAAAUCCACAUACAAGUUUAUUGGAUAUUUUCAAAAUUUCUUAUUUUUUAAUCCAAGAAUUCAUGUUUUUUGUUGCUUGGUAAAAUAAAUGUAUCGC